rnacentral:tRNA from 1 species
GCCGAAGUGGUGGAAUCUGGUAGACACGCUAUCUUGAGGGGGUAGUGUUCGAAAGGACGUGCGGGUUCAAGUCCCGCCUUCGGCACAA